rnacentral:rRNA from 1 species
CGCAAGCCUGAACGAGCGACGCCGCGUGCGCGAUGAAGGCCUUCGGGUGUAAAGCGCGAAAGUGGAGAGAAAAGCGAAAGUUUGAUCAAUCCACAGUAAGGACGGGCUAAGUUCGUGCCAGCAGCCGCGGUAAGACGAACUGUCCUAACGUUGUUCGGAAUCACUGGGCUUAAAGGGCGCGUAGGCGGUCGAAUAAGUCGGGGGUGAAAUCCUGCAGCUCAACUGUAGAAGUGCCUUCGAUACUGUUCGUCUGGAGGGAGAUAGGGGUGUGCGGAACUUCCAGUGGAGCGGUGAAAUGCGUUGAUAUUGGAAGGAACGCCGGAGGCGAAAGCGGCGCACUGGAUCUCUUCUGACGCUGAGGCGCGAAAGCUAGGGGAGCAAACGGGAUUAGAUACCCCGGUAGUCCUAGCCCUAAACGAUGAGUACUAGAUUGUAGACUGAUCAUGGGUUUACAGUCGAAGCAAAAGUUUUAAGUACUCCGCCUGGGGAGUAUGGCCGCAAGGCUG